rnacentral:rRNA from 1 species
CAGCUCAGUUCGGAUUGAAGGCUGAAAUUGCCUUCAUGAAGCCGGAAUUGCUAGUAAUGGCAGGUCAGCAUACUGCCGUGAAUACGUUCCCGGGCCUUGUACACACCGCCCGUCACACCAUGAGAGUUGGGGAUACCCGAAGCCUGUGAGCUAACAGUAAUGAAGCAGCAGUCGAAGGUAGAAUCAAUGAUUGGGGUGAAGUCGUAACAAGGUACC